AGGACGACGCUGGCGGCGUGCCUAAUACAUGCAAGUCGAGCGGACCAAAGGGAGCUUGCUCCUGGAGGUUAGCGGCGAACGGGUGAGUAACACGUGGGCGAACCUGCCUGUAAGACUGGGAUAACAUCGAGAAAUCGGUGCUAAUACCGGAUAUAAAAAGAACUGCAUGGUUCUUUUUGAAAGAUGGUUUCGGCUAUCACUUACAGAUGGGCCCGCGGCGCAUUAGCUAGUUGGUGAGGUAACGGCUCACCAAGGCGACGAUGCGUAGCCGACCUGAGAGGGUGAUCGGCCACACUGGGACUGAGACACGGCCCAGACUCCUACGGGAGGCAGCAGUAGGGAAUCUUCCGCAAUGGACGAAAGUCUGACGGAGCAACGCCGCGUGAGUGAUGAAGGUUUUCGGAUCGUAAAACUCUGUUGUUAGGGAAGAACAAGAGCCGUUCGAAAGGGCGGCACCUUGACGGUACCUAACGAGAAAGCCACGGCUAACUACGUG
rnacentral:rRNA from 1 species